rnacentral:tRNA from 1 species
GCCUGGCUGGCUCAGUCGUAGAGCAUGCGACUAUUGAUCUUGAGGUUGUAAGUUCAAGUCUCACUUUGGGUG